AUUGAACGCUGGCGGCAGGCCUAACACAUGGAAGUCGAACGGUAACAGGAAGAAGCUUGCUUCUUUGCUGACGAGUGGCGGACGGGUGAGUAAUGUCUGGGAAACUGCCUGAUGGAGGGGGAUAACUACUGGAAACGGUAGCUAAUACCGCAUAACGUCGCAAGACCAAAGAGGGGGACCUUCGGGCCUCUUGCCAUCGGAUGUGCCCAGAUGGGAUUAGCUUGUUGGUGGGGUAACGGCUCACCAAGGCGACGAUCCCUAGCUGGUCUGAGAGGAUGACCAGCCACACUGGAACUGAGACACGGUCCAGACUCCUACGGGAGGCAGCAGUGGGGAAUAUUGCACAAUGGGCGCAAGCCUGAUGCAGCCAUGCCGCGUGUAUGAAGAAGGCCUUCGGGUUGUAAAGUACUUUCAGCGGGGAGGAAGGGAGUAAAGUUAAUACCUUUGCUCAUUGACGUUACCCGCAGAAGAAGCACCGGCUAACUCCGUGCCAGCAGCCGCGGUAAUACGGAGGGUGCAAGCGUUAAUCGGAAUUACUGGGCGUAAAGCGCACGCAGGCGGUUUGUUAAGUCAGAUGUGAAAUCCCCGGGCUCAACCUGGGAACUGCAUCUGAUACUGGCAAGCUUGAGUCUCGUAGAGGGGGGUAGAAUUCCAGGUGUAGCGGUGAAAUGCGUAGAGAUCUGGAGGAAUACCGGUGGCGAAGGCGGCCCCCUGGACGAAGACUGACGCUCAGGUGCGAAAGCGUGGGGAGCAAACAGGAUUAGAUACCCUGGUAGUCCACGCCGUAAACGAUGUCGACUUGGAGGUUGUGCCCUUGAGGCGUGGCUUCCGGAGCUAACGCGUUAAGUCGACCGCCUGGGGAGUACGGCCGCAAGGUUAAAACUCAAAUGAAUUGACGGGGGCCCGCACAAGCGGUGGAGCAUGUGGUUUAAUUCGAUGCAACGCGAAGAACCUUACCUGGUCUUGACAUCCACGGAAGUUUUCAGAGAUGAGAAUGUGCCUUCGGGAACCGUGAGACAGGUGCUGCAUGGCUGUCGUCAGCUCGUGUUGUGAAAUGUUGGGUUAAGUCCCGCAACGAGCGCAACCCUUAUCCUUUGUUGCCAGCGGUCCGGCCGGGAACUCAAAGGAGACUGCCAGUGAUAAACUGGAGGAAGGUGGGGAUGACGUCAAGUCAUCAUGGCCCUUACGACCAGGGCUACACACGUGCUACAAUGGCGCAUACAAAGAGAAGCGACCUCGCGAGAGCAAGCGGACCUCAUAAAGUGCGUCGUAGUCCGGAUUGGAGUCUGCAACUCGACUCCAUGAAGUCGGAAUCGCUAGUAAUCGUGGAUCAGAAUGCCACGGUGAAUACGUUCCCGGGCCUUGUACACACCGCCCGUCACACCAUGGGAGUGGGUUGCAAAAGAAGUAGGUAGCUUAACCUUCGGGAGGGCGCUUACCACUUUGUGAUUCAUGACUGGGGUGAAGUC
rnacentral:rRNA from 1 species